AGUGAACGCUGGCGGUAGGCCUAACACAUGCAAGUCGAACGGCAGCACAGAGGAGCUUGCUCCUUGGGUGGCGAGUGGCGGACGGUGAGGAAUACAUCGGAAUCUACUCUGUCGUGGGGGAUAACGUAGGGAAACUUACGCUAAUACCGCAUACGACCUACGGGUGAAAGCAGGGGACCUUCGGGCCUUGCGCGAUUGAAUGAGCCGAUGUCGGAUUAGCUAGUUGGCGGGGUAAGGGCCCACCAAGGCGACGAUCCGUAGCUGGUCUGAGAGGAUGAUCAGCCACACUGGAACUGAGACACGGUCCAGACUCCUACGGGAGGCAGCAGUGGGGAAUAUUGGACAAUGGGCGCAAGCCUGAUCCAGCCAUACCGCGUGGGUGAAGAAGGCCUUCGGGUUGUAAAGCCCUUUUGUUGGGAUGGAAAUCCAGCUGGCUAAUACCCGGUUGGGAUGACGGUACCCAAAGAAUAAGCACCGGCUAACUUCGUGCCAGCAGCCGCCGUAA
rnacentral:rRNA from 1 species